AGCCUAACCCACAACUUUUAUAGAGGUGGCAUGGUUAAGAAAACGCGUAAACCAUACUGAUCCCGUCGUUCAGGUUCGUUUACGCGUCAUGGAGGGAAACUUUCAUGGGGCCUGUAAUAAGGUCU
rnacentral:sRNA from 12 species